GAAGCAACAAAUGCCCUGCUUCCAGGAAAAGCCUCUAAGCAUCAGGUAACAUCAAAUCGUACCCCAAACCGACACAGGUGGUCAGGUAGAGAAUACCAAGGCGCUUGAGAGAACUCGGGUGAAGGAACUAGGCAAAAUGGUGCCGUAACUUCGGGAGAAGGCACGCUGAUAUGUAGGUGAAGCGACUUGCUCGUGGAGCUGAAAUCAGUCGAAGAUACCAGCUGGCUGCAACUGUUUAUUAAAAACACAGCACUGUGCAAACACGAAAGUGGACGUAUACGGUGUGACGCCUGCCCGGUGCCGGAAGGUUAAUUGAUGGGGUUAGCGGUAACGCGAAGCUCUUGAUCGAAGCCCCGGUAAACGGCGGCCGUAACUAUAACGGUCCUAAGGUAGCGAAAUUCCUUGUCGGGUAAGUUCCGACCUGCACGAAUGGCGUAAUGAUGGCCAGGCUGUCUCCACCCGAGACUCAGUGAAAUUGAACUCGCUGUGAAGAUGCAGUGUACCCGCGGCAAGACGGAAAGACCCCGUGAACCUUUACUAUAGCUUGACACUGAACAUUGAGCCUUGAUGUGUAGGAUAGGUGGGAGGCUUUGAAGUGUGGACGCCAGUCUGCAUGGAGCCGACCUUGAAAUACCACCCUUUAAUGUUUGAUGUUCUAACGUUGGCCCGUUAUCCGGGUUGCGGACAGUGUCUGGUGGGUAGUUUGACUGGGGCGGUCUCCUCCUAAAGAGUAACGGAGGAGCACGAAGGUUGGCUAAUCCUGGUCGGACAUCAGGAGGUUAGUGCAAUGGCAUAAGCCAGCUUGACUGCGAGCGUGACGGCGCGAGCAGGUGCGAAAGCAGGUCAUAGUGAUCCGGUGGUUCUGAAUGGAAGGGCCAUCGCUCAACGGAUAAAAGGUACUCCGGGGAUAACAGGCUGAUACCGCCCAAGAGUUCAUAUCGACGGCGGUGUUUGGCACCUCGAUGUCGGCUCAUCACAUCCUGGGGCUGAAGUAGGUCCCAAGGGUAUGGCUGUUCGCCAUUUAAAGUGGUACGCGAGCUGGGUUUAGAACGUCGUGAGACAGUUCGGUCCCUAUCUGCCGUGGGCGCUGGAGAACUGAGGGGGGCUGCUCCUAGUACGAGAGGACCGGAGUGGACGCAUCACUGGUGUUCGGGUUGUCAUGCCAAUGGCACUGCCCGGUAGCUAAAUGCGGAAGAGAUAAGUGCUGAAAGCAUCUAAGCACGAAACUUGCCCCGAGAUGAGUUCUCCCUGACUCCCUGAGAGUCCUGAAGGAACGUUGAAGACGACGACGUUGAUAGGCCGGGUGUGUAAGCGCAGCGAUGCGUUGAGCUAACCGGUACUAAUGAACCGUGAGGCUUAACCUUACAACGCCGAAG
rnacentral:rRNA from 1 species